rnacentral:rRNA from 1 species
GACGAACGCUGGCGGCGUGCUUAACACAUGCAAGUCGAGCGGUAAGGCCCUUUCGGGGGUACACGAGCGGCGAACGGGUGAGUAACACGUGGGUGACCUGCCCUCAGCUCUGGGAUAAGCCUGGGAAACCGGGUCUAAUACUGGAUAUGACUCCAUGACGCAUGUUGUGGGGUGGAAAGCCUUGUGCGGCUGAGGAUGGGCCCGCGGCCUAUCAGCUUGUUGGUGGGGUGANGGCCUACCAAGGCGACGACGGGUAGCCGGUCUGAGAGGGCGACCGGCCACACUGGGACUGAGACACGGCCCAGACUCCUACGGGAGGCAGCAGUGGGGAAUCUUGCGCAAUGGGCGAAAGCCUGACGCAGCGACGCCGCGUGAGGGAUGACGGCCU